UUUAACUACAGCCAUAAGUUUCUGUAUCUAACUUUGAACGUCCGUCUUAUUUAAAAUUAUUUUAUGAUUAAUAUUUUUAUUGUUAUUAGAUGAUAUAAUGAAUAGUACUUUAUACGUGACUUAUAUUUUUUAUUUUUUUAAAAAAUAAAUAAUAUAAAUGAUUAAAGCUGAACACGAAAACUUAUGGCUACACUUAAA
rfam:Oryza glaberrima chromosome 7 Oglab07_0002_2, whole genome shotgun sequence.